GAUGAACGCUGGCGGCGUGCCUAAUACAUGCAAGUCGAGCGAACAGACGAGGAGCUUGCUCCUCUGACGUUAGCGGCGGACGGGUGAGUAACACGUGGAUAACCUACCUAUAAGACUGGGAUAACUUCGGGAAACCGGAGCUAAUACCGGAUAAUAUAUUGAACCGCAUGGUUCAAUAGUGAAAGACGGUUUUGCUGUCACUUAUAGAUGGAUCCGCGCCGCAUUAGCUAGUUGGUAAGGUAACGGCUUACCAAGGCGACGAUGCGUAGCCGACCUGAGAGGGUGAUCGGCCACACUGGAACUGAGACACGGUCCAGACUCCUACGGGAGGCAGCAGUAGGGAAUCUUGCGCAAUGGGCGAAAGCCUGACGGAGCAACGCCGCGUGAGUGAUGAAGGUCUUCGGAUCGUAAAACUCUGUUAUUAGGGAAGAACAAAUGUGUAAGUAACUAUGCACGUCUUGACGGUACCUAAUCAGAAAGCCCCGGCUAACUACGUG
rnacentral:rRNA from 1 species